UCUCUCAUGGGAUGUAGGCAACUUCAGUGAAUUUCAGUAGGAAUUAUACUUUGCAACUGGAGAGCAGAGCCCAUGACUGGACUGAAGCCAACGUUCUUUAAAAGUUCACAUGCCUUGUACUGACUCUCUAAUUUAGGCUCCUUCUGACCAAGGAGAGAAAACUGGAAGAAAACUAAACAGUGGUUUUGUUUAAAGAUGGGGGGAGGGGGGGGAACUGUUACCACCACCAACAAAAAAGAACUGUGGGUCAGCAUAACAUCAUGUAAACUGUAUUUCAUUUGUGCUUUCAUCAGAAAUGAGUAAGUAGAGCUGUAUAUGCUGCGAAUUCUAAGAAUGUUAAUGGGAUGCCUGCAUUGCAUUGUACUUAAGAGUACUUACACUAGAAUAGGAAAGCCUUUUGUUCUGUAAUUCCUUGAGGCAAGAAGAAGGCUUUCUGAAUAGUUACUUUAAUUUUAAACUCUCGUUCUAAUGUUAGACAGCCUGUUGGAUCUCCAAGUUAAAAAUUGCUUCAGCUUUACUUACUAGAGCCAGAUGUAACAUUGACCUUAAAUGGUAAAAGCUCCCGAGAGUGAAAGAGAGGCUGGCCUGAGGGGAAAAAGGGGAAUAACUGAAGUUUUAGGUAAGUAAUCUCUAUAACCAAGAAUAAGCUCUCUUUCAGCUGUGGAAUAGAACAGAACCUUAUCUCCUCCUUAAAGAUGUUUUGAAGCACAGCCAGGAAGAAUAAAGAUUAUCCAGAGAGAGCAGCCCUCAUCUGCUUUCUGGCCAUUUGGAAAAGGCAGCUGUGGGUCAAGAAUCUGUUCCCUGAAAAUUUCCAUGCAUCUGAAGUAAUUUCUCCACUGAUGAUGACCCUUUAUUUUGUUCAUAUUUAAGGUCAGCAUGCAAGCUCUGAGGCUGAAGAAACUCUUGGAGUUCUAUAUCAAAGAUACUGCUCCUUUGCACCUGCUCUCUUAUGUGCCCUUCUAAAUUCCCUGUCAUAGGUUUAGCAUUUCCAUUAUAACACACUCAAAGUACUAGGCUCUUCCCCUGAAGACUACUCAGUGUGUCAAUACUGCUUCUGUCAGUUAAAUAAUGUGUGUCAUUCUUUUUCCUCCUGCUUUGACAGGUUUUAAGUAACAUCAGGUAAAUCAGCAGCAGUAAACAGAUGCUCAUAAAACAAAAGGGAGAUUGUGAUCCUGUUUAAAAAAAA
rnacentral:lncRNA from 1 species